AUUCCCUUUUCUAACAAUUUUAUGUGACUACAUGUCCAUUAUUUAUUCCGUGUGCAUUGAAUGGGUUGACAUGUCAUAAUUCUUUCUAUAUUGUUGUAUGGUCGAUUAAAGCUUGUGUAAUAUGAUUUUUUUAAAUAAAUAUGAAUUCAUACUGACUACAUAAAAGUCAUGGCCCGUACAAGUGUUUCUUACCAAAAAACACAUUUAUCGUCCUUGAGGUCAAAGUUCAAGGUCACAUGAAGGUCAAAAUUUUAAGAAGGCACACCACCUCAUGAUGAUACAUCCACAUGUCAAAGAU
rnacentral:lncRNA from 1 species